GACGAACGCUGGCGGCGUGCUUAACACAUGCAAGUCGAACGGAAAGGCCCUGCUUUUGUGGGGUGCUCGAGUGGCGAACGGGUGAGUAACACGUGAGUAACCUGCCCUUGACUUUGGGAUAACUUCAGGAAACUGGGGCUAAUACCAGAUAGGAGCUCCUGCUGCAUGGUGGGGGUUGGAAAGUUUCGGCGGUUGGGGAUGGACUCGCGGCUUAUCAGCUUGUUGGUGGGGUAGUGGCUUACCAAGGCUUUGACGGGUAGCCGGCCUGAGAGGGUGACCGGCCACAUUGGGACUGAGAUACGGCCCUGACUCCUACGGGAGGCAGCAGUGGGGAAUAUUGCACAAUGGGCGGAAGCCUGAUGCAGCAACGCCGCGUGCGGGAUGACGGCCUUCGGGUUGUAAACCGCUUUCGCCUGUGACGAAGCGUGAGUGACGGUAAUGGGUAAAGAAGCACCGGCUAACUACGUG
rnacentral:rRNA from 1 species